rnacentral:rRNA from 1 species
CAAUAGCGUAUAUUAAAGUUGUUGCGGUUAAAAAGCUCGUAGUUGGAUUUCUGCUGAGAACGACCGGUCCGCCCUUUGGGUGUGUAUCUGGCUCUUUCUUGGCAUCUUCUUGGUGAACGUUGCUGCACUUGACUGUGUGGAGCGCUACCCAGGACUUUUACUUUGAGGAAAUUAGAGUGUUUCAAGCAGGCAUACGCCUUGAAUACAUUAGCAUGGAAUAAUAAGAUAGGACCUCGGUUCUAUUUUGUUGGUUUCUAGAGCUGAGGUAAUGAUUAAUAGGGAUAGUUGGGGGCAUUCGUAUUUAACUGUCAGAGGUGAAAUUCUUGGAUUUGUUAAAGACGGGCUACUGCGAAAGCAUUUGCCAAGGAUGUUUUCAUUGA